rnacentral:lncRNA from 1 species
AGAAGAUGGUCUAGAGGAAGGGAGUAGGGAGGGAGGAGGGUUAGAGAGAGAGAGAGAGAGAGAGUUAGAAUAAAUCCUUACCACAUAAUGAUUACGGCUCACAAGUCCUGCCUCUGAUAUGGAGUGCAGAAGGAGCCGGGAUUACAACUACAGUAAUCUGAGAACCGCAAGUGCACUCCACAGCCACAGACGGACACAUCAACUCCAACAAAACAUCAAGGGUCAGGAGAAACUGAAAUGAGGCACCUGUGAACGGGACAUCGCUUUACAACUACAGAAGUCAAGAAACUAAUUACAAACUCCAGGGAAUCAGAGGCUAAAAUAUCUGUUGGCUAGCAAUCAACAGCCGGCUAAAACGAGAAGCUCCGCCUGUCGGCCUGUGCCACCUGUGUGCCCUUCUAACUGCCAGUUUUUGGAGUAAUCCGUGGUGUCUUUUACUGGAAUGAGGACUACACUUGAAGAACAUGUUGGAAACAAGUUAACAAGGUGAACGAGAUUUGUUCGUUGGACUGAAAAGAACUUGGAAUACACCGAAAAUUCCAUUUCCUAUUGUUUGUUUUAACAUGAAACAACAGACAAUUCUAAAUUCAAUUUUACCCUAAUGUUCUAUUUGACUCGAAACUGCAAAUUUAUGAAACGCACUGAUUGCUCUUAUCUGAUUUGGACCCGUCCAAUGAGAGUUGAGACACAUGCAUCCACCUAACCAGUGACCAUCCUGGACAAGGGGCUCUAUGCGCGUCUGCACCAGGACACUUGUGGACAGCCGUCUCCUGCCUCUCAUUUCUCCUCUGGCAUCCACUCUCCCUCCAUCUCUCCACGCCACCUCCUCUUUUCCUCCCCCCCUCCCUCCAUCCGUCCCACCCUCCCCUCACGGAAGAUGAUGUGACCUUCUGCCAAACUGCUAGAGACCAUGCCACUGUCACAGUGGGCUGUUCGGUCUACACUGAAAUAGAAUCAAACAAGAGCCACGAGAGAGAGAGAGAGAGAAAGAAGGAGGGGGGACAGGGGAAAAAAAGAAGAAGAAAAAAAUCAGGACGAGUCACGGAGGAGAAAAUGUGCUGUCAGGCGUCCGGGCUGGAUGUGGUUUGCCAAAGCAGGUGGAAAUGUGAUUACGCACGUGUCUCUCUCACACACGAAGCUCCGGUAGCGGGGAACCUCCGUUGGUGCUCAGGUGUAACUGUCAACAAAACACGUGUUUGUAUUUGUAUUCAGAAUGCAAUCCAAGUGCACCUUGUCCACU